rnacentral:rRNA from 1 species
GAUGAACGCUAGCGGCAGGCCUAAUACAUGCAAGCCGAACGGCAAGCUUUGUAGCAAUACGGAGCCUAGAGUGGCGUAAGGGUGCGUAACACGUAUGCAAUCUACCCUCAACAGGAGAAUAGCUCCCCGAAAGGGGAAUUAAUGUUCCAUAGGAUCAUGGUGCGGCAUCGCACAGUGAUUAAACCGCAAGGGGUUGAGGAUGAGCAUGCGCAUGAUUAGUUAGUUGGCGGGGUAAC